rnacentral:rRNA from 1 species
GCUCAGGACGAACGCUGGCGGCGUGCUUAACACAUGCAAGUCGAACGGAAAGGCCCUGCUUUUGUGGGGUGCUCGAGUGGCGAACGGGUGAGUAACACGUGAGUAACCUGCCCUUGACUUUGGGAUAACUUCAGGAAACUGGGGCUAAUACCGGAUAGGAGCUCCUGCUGCAUGGUGGGGGUUGGAAAGUUUCGGCGGUUGGGGAUGGACUCGCGGCUUAUCAGCUUGUUGGUGGGGUAGUGGCUUACCAAGGCUUUGACGGGUAGCCGGCCUGAGAGGGUGACCGGCCACAUUGGGACUGAGAUACGGCCCAGACUCCUACGGGAGGCAGCAGUA